rnacentral:lncRNA from 1 species
UCUAUUGGCAAGUGGCGGAGCCAAAACUUAGAUUCAGUGGGGUUAAAAUUGCCAUAACUUAUAUCCAGCAGGUCAAAACUGCCAUAACUUAUGUUUAGUGGAGUCAAAAUUAUAGAAUUUAGGGCAAAUUACUAUUAUUUUUUUAGGGUCAAAAUUGACAGAACUUAAGUUCAAUGGGUCAAAAUUGUAGAAUUUAUAAAAUUUAGAACAAAUUAUUAAUUUUUUUGUGAGAUCAAAUUAUAUUUAUGAUAAUUAUAUUAGGGAUAGUGUAUAUAAUUUUUUUCAGUGAAGUCAAUUGACUCCACUUGCCCUAGCUGGCUCCGCCCAGUCCUUUGAGAUGUGGUUUAGACUUUUAGUUCAUUUUUUGCAUACCUGCAUGUACUUUAACUCAUUGAACGUAAGAGCGUGUGUUGUUCUAGCUCAAAAGGAGUUUGAUCAGGAUAAUAUUGCGUUGCAUCUUAAGAGUGUUACAUGUACAACUCUUUUUUGUUAUAAAAUUUAACACCUCCACCCCCCACAAAAAAAAAAAAAAAAGGUGAGAGAAACUAGAAGUCUUGAACAACCACAUUAUCAAAUAACACUUGUCAACUAAAAUAACUUGUCUAUUAAAACGACCAGACCACCAUUUUGAAGAAUUUGAAUUUGCAGCAACUCUGGGGCUGUAUUUGGACCAAGGAAUUAGAGAGGAAUUGUGGAAGUAAAAGAAAAUUAAGAAAAAAGAUUAAAUCUGAACUGUUGGGUCCAUCAACUUUUCCCUUUCCUUUUCUUUUUCCACCACCAAAUCCUUAAUCCAAACGCAAUCUAAGAAAACAAAUUGAAGACAACCAAAUUCAUUGCUCUACAUUUUUUUGGGUAAAUCCAAUGAUCUACAUUGAGAAGAACAUAUAAAUUACUUCGAAAGAAUUUGAAUUUGCAGCCAGUCUAAGAAAACAGAUCGGAUAAGCAGAUCCUACGAAUUACUUUGAAAGGAAUGGAUGAUCCAAGUAUAUCAUCCUUCAACUGAAAAAAGUAAACAUGAGACAGGAUAUUGUAACAACAAACUCAACACAAAAAUUCGCAGCACAGGCCAAUUCUGUAUCAUAAAUUCCUUCUAGUGAAAUUUCCUGAAAGAAUAACAUUCGCAAGAAAUUCAGAUUCAGGUGUAUGAACCUUCACUUCUUCACAGAAAAAAUGGUGCCUAUCCGUACUUCACCAGUCCAAUUCGAAAAUUUCAGAUUUAGGUUCGUACAUAUCGGAAAGAAAAUAAACACACACGGACACCUAUAUGUACAGAUUCGAAGAGAGAGAGAAUCAACAUUCUCAAAAAUCAAGCGUUAAAUGGAGAUUUUCGUUAAAAAAAUGCCGAGAAAAUUCGUGGAAAACCCUAACGACGUGAAUGGAGAUGCAAAUACAUCGAAAAUGUGUAAGAAAGAAGAAAUCAAUCACGAACUAUACGGAUAUUGUAGAGAGAGAAGAUUUUGAAAUGAUUAGGGAAAGAACUUACCAUUCUUCGUUCACUGCUUUUUGAAUCUGUGAAGAAUGCGAUACGACCUCACAAAUUGGAAGUGAAGCAAACGAGGAUAAAAAUACUGGUUAAAGGACGCCUCCAUCUGUUUGAGAUUGCCCGAUAGUUCGUUUAAUACCUGUUGCCAUUGAGGAAAAAAAUUGAAAUGACCAGAUUACCCAGUAGUCCCUCCAUCCAUCCAUCCCGUGUGUUUGGUAUAAAUGAAUUUACGUUGACAAUAAUUAUUAAAAGUAGAAUUAGAAAAAAUUAAAUAAAUAGUUUUAAAAAAUUAACACGUUUAAAGUUGUUUUUGACUCAUUAGUAAAAGCAGUGUCAAACAUUCUAACACAACUUCAAAUAAAAAAAUUAAAAUUGGUACUUAUAAGCUGCACCCGACAUGAAUAAUCAAUGCAUUUAAUUUUUACUAACUUUUUAAUUUUAUUAAAUAUUAUACAUCCAUGAUUUUUUUAUUUUGGUAUGAAAAGGGGAAAAGAAUGCUACUUAAAAGCAAUAACAGAUACGGCUCCAAAAUUCUUACUUUGGGAAAGGCAAAUAAAUAUAAUCGAAAACUAUUUUUUUUUAGUACAAUAUGAAUUUUUACCAUAAAAAGUGAAUAUUAUAACCAAAAGACAAUAAAAAUUACUAAUCGCCAAAGUACUAACCAAAUUAUUCAGAUUCGACUCUAAAAAAUUUAAUAGGAGGUUGUCCUGGGGAGUUCAAAUUGCAAUAUCAUGUGUUGAAGAAUCAUUAAUUGUACAAUCUUCAAUAUUUUAAAAAGUUUUAGGCAUAAUGAAUGAAUCAAUUACUUUAUUCAAUAUUCACCAUAAUAUAAUCGAAAUUAAAUUUAAUACAAUAUCAGUAAUAAUUAAAAAUAUAUUCAACAUAAACACUUUAAAUAUCAAAACUAUAAGAAUCCAUUGGAAAAAUAAUAAAAGUUUCAGUAAAUAAUUAAUUUUGAAGAAACCUUGGCACCCCCUCUCCCUCCCCUAUGUUAUAAAUAGAGUAAGGAUCCCUUGUAUAAAAAAUAAUAAUUUUGAUAUUAUAAAAAAAAUCAUUGUGCUCUAUUUGCUUGGAUACAAGAAACUUAUACGGAAUAAGAGAGAGAAAUAAGAGAAAGGAAGAAUGUUUGACUUACCUCUAACCUCGGAUAAAACUUAUACAAAUGCCUCUCUUCUUUCUUAUUCUUUUUCACGCUCCCUCUUCACAUUUAAAGUUUUUAUUAUACAUCCUUCUUUUUUUUUAUUUUGUGAAAAAGUUUUAUAAAUUUACAUUUUAACCACUUAAAGUUUAUAUAUUUUUAUUUUUAUUCAUCCCAAUUAAGGUUUUUACAGUAUAUUAUAUACCCCUUUUUCUUUCUUUUUUUUUUGUAUUUUGUAAAAAAGUUUAUAAGUUUACAUUUUGACCACUUAAAGUUUUGAUAUUUUCAUUUCUACCCAAAAUAUUACAUUUUUUAAAUUAGAAUAUAUUUGACUAAUAUUUUAAAUACUUCAAAAAAAUUGGGUGCGAACCUUUUGAGUGUUUAAAAAUAUUUGGGGAUGCAAAUCCUAUCACUUCGUGAUUAUAUUAUAAUUUUUUAGUAUAACUAGUAAAAAAUUGAAAAAAAAUUGGGAUACGACUACCCCUUACGCCUUCACAAAUCCAUCCCUAUAGAGUAAUAUAUAAAAGAGAAAAGAUAAAAUAAGAAAUUUUGAUAUUUUUUGUUGACUCUUUAAAUUAUAUAUACAUUCUAGAAUACUCAAAAUGAAAUAAUGGUACUUCAAUAUAGGACGGAAGGAGUAUAAUAUUAGGCAUUGCUCUUUUUACCUACAACGGACAUCAAAUUUAGACUAAAAAAAAUUUAUUAAGAUUCAAAAUAAAUUAUUAAGAUUCACCUUGAUUAGUGAAAGCUUAUACUAAGGCUGUUAAAUUUUUGUUUUCAAAUUGGGAGAUUGCAGGGUUUCUCUUUCCCUAUUCAAAGAGAAAAGCAAAGAAAAACAGUCAUGCUGAUUCUGGCACUUUAAGGGUGGUUUUUAAUCAUUUUGCUGGUAACAUGGCCAUACACACGACAAGCAUUUCGGUUCAAAAAUAAACCUAAAAGCUACUGCCAAGCAUGUGAAGCAUCGAUUUACGAGUAUUCUCAAAAAAAUAAUAAAUAAAUAUAUGUAUAUACUAUUAUAUAAUAAGAAAUUAUCUGUUUUCUGUUGGGCUAAUUAUAUAGUUUCGAUCCUCUAAGUGGAGGUGUUGGGAGUGUAUCUAAGUGUAACCAAAUGAUUUAGGAUUAAAACACCUCGUUUUGUAACUUCAAUACCAAAACGACGUCAUUUUUAGGCUCCUUUUGGCAAUGCUUCAAGCUAAUUUUCUUUAAACUUCUGUAUCACAAAUUAUCCGAUUUUUUAACUUUUUUGCUUUUGUGGAUUUACUUUACUAAAAUUUAAGCAAAAAAACAAAAACAGAAAAACAAAAAAGCCCCGAAAACCCCCUCUGAUUGACUUUUUUGGCUUAUUUUAAGGGGCAAAAAGCAAAAAAAAACUGAAAAAAAACUGGUGUCAAACGGAGCCGUAUUCUGACCACGUCGUUUUACUUAUAAUUAAAACGACAUUAUUUUAUCCUAAAAUAUACAAAACGAUGUCGUUUUGUACACUUCAGGCAACCCUUUAUAAUCCGCACUUCGAGUAUCUGAACUCUAAUUAUAUAUAAGAUUUUUGUUCAAGACAAAUUCAUAAAUAACUCUCAUGCCUAAACAAACACUCGUUGUAAUUCUAUAUGGAGUGCUCAUAUAAUUUUUUUUAACGGAUCGUACAAUUAAUUGCGAGAGUUAUGAUGUAGCAUUUUAUUUUUGUAUUUUGGUUUUAAAAACUUUAAAAUAUAAUAAUUUUUAUCGUACACUAUUUUUUUUAAUAAAAUUUAUAUUUUUACAAUCUUCUCAAUGAAAUCUAUUAAAUAAGAUUUAUAUCAAAUAUGAAAUUCUAGCAAUAGAAAAAGUAAUUUUUUUUCUAGUAAUUAGAUUCUCAGUGAGGUUAUUGAUAAAUUGAAUUAUUUCACACAAAAUUGUAUAAAAUACAAAAAUUAUAAAACAUUUGAGAUUAAUAUGUUAAUUUGAUUGACUGAUAUUUAUCAUUUUGCACAUAUAUUUAUAAGGAAUAAAAAAAUUAUUCAUAAUGCAUUUAUAUUUUUAGUUAGAAUACAUAAUGGGAAUUUUAUCAUUCAAAUAUGAGAAAAAUUAAAAAAUUAUCUAUUUAUGACAAUUAUAAUUUUAUAGCAUGUGUCUACAAUUUUAGUUAUUUAAGAUACAUAGUAUAAAAUAUACGUAAAAAUUAUAUAUUUGUUUAUUAAAAUAUGAAUAUGCUUUCGAAAAUUUUGUAUAUUAGAAUCUAAAAUAUUACAAAUUAAUAAUACAAAAUGAGAAUUUUAUCAUUUAACAAAUAUACAAUAAAACAUAUAAAUUUUCACAGGUAUGUUCAUAUUUUUUUUACUUGUUGAUAUACAUAAAAAAAGAGAAUUAAAUUCUUAGGUACCCAAAAAAAAAGAUAUGAAGGAAAUUGGAAAAAAAAAUGUCAUUAUAGGUGUAAACAAAAAUUGGGGGGAAAUUUAAAAAUAAAAGUUUUAUACUUAAAAACUAUAUUCUUUUUUUUUUGGAGUGCAAAUUGAUAUCUAGAAUAAAUAAAAAAGAAAAGAAAAAUCAUUUUCUUGGUUUUAAAAAAAUAUGAAAGAGAACUUAAAUAAACAAAAAGAAAAUAAAAAAACAGGGUAAAUUAUAAAUAUCACCCCUGAGGUUUUGGUCAAAUACAGUCUUCCCCUUAUAGUAUAGAAAAUGACAAAUUUUCCCUUGUCCGUGUUUGUCUGCUGACGGUUUAAAAUUACAAAUUAUAAAUAUGUAGUGUGGCGUUUCCGCCACACUACACCGUCACCACUUCCCGUUGAAAUACCCAAUUCACCACAGAUUGCUCCGCCACUACCACCUAUCGUACACUGUCUGUGUUGUUUCCGUCGCUGUAUCAUCACCUCACAAACACCCCUGACCACCCUACCAUGCAACCAUCAAACGAUUGCAGAUGAUGUAGCUUUAGCCCUCUCUAACCCAAUAUCUCUCCUUCCCCAAUCUCUCAUCAAACGAUUGCAUUUUUUUAGAUUUGCUGAUCUUUGCAAUUUCGCAAUCAGUCAAUAGUGAAUUUGUUGAUUUAAAAUGCCAUUUUUUUAGCAACAUCACAGAUCUUGUACAAUAUAUUCCAUGUAGAGAGAGACAGCCCCAAUCUUUAAUUUCUCUUAAAAUCAACGCCCUUUGUUUCUGUUUGUGUGAAAGAGAGAAGGAUUAAUGAGAGGAAAUAGUGAUAAUAAGUGAGGGCAACUUAGGUAUUUUGAGGGAUAAAUUUGUUAUUCAAAUAUAAACGUCAAGGGGAUAGCAUUCAUAAUUUAUCCAAAGACAUAAAAGAGAGAAGAAUGUAAAAAGAAAAUUUUCAAAAUGAGAAAAAAUAAAUUUUUACUUGUGUUUUUACUUGUUUCCCCUCUCAAAAUUAGAAACCAAACACGAUAAAGAACUAUGAUUUUCCAUUCUUUUCCAUUUCUUUUCCUAGGCUCCAAACAGAGCAUAAAAAAUAAUUAAUUUAGUUCCUUUUUCUUUCCAUUCACAUGGUUGUGUUUAUUUAGAUUUUCGAGCAAAAUAAAAUAAAAUAAAUUACUUUACUUCUUGUUCGUUAUUCUGGACGCAACAACAAUAAAUUUCCUGGAAUACAUUUGGACCCAAUGAAAAAAAUUCUUUCAUUCUUUCUUAUUUCUAGAACCAAAUAAGCAUAAAUUUUAUAGCCAAAGCAAAACAAAUAGCUCACAUCCUUAAGGAGGCAAACUCAGAGACUGCCGCAAAUUCAGCAGCAAUCAUAACGGCAAAUUUAAGAGAGAGAGAGAGAGAGAGAGAGAGAGAGAGAGAAGAGAGAUUACACAAUUAUCAGAUGCCCAAAACAUGAAAAGAAAAAAAAACUUCGUAGCAUACGACCACCCCACCCCGACGAAUCAAAUUUAGUUUGGACUUGAUUUUUUUCCUAAUAAAUGAUAAAAUCUGCAUAAUAGAUAAUCUGUCAAGUUUUUUCUUUUUUUUGGUUAAUGUUAGCAAUCCUCCACAUAAGAUAAUUGAGGUGGGGCAGUCCACACAUCCCCCCAUACAUAGCCAAGUGAGCACAGAGCAGAAGAGCAGAUGCAUGGUGUUUUGAGGGAAACAAUUCCAGCCAAAACUCCACCACCAAAACAACAUGACUGCAGCAAACAUUCCAAGUGGCUAAACCAAUGCAUGGGUAAAAAGAUUAGGGUAAAUUCAACUUUUGUCCCCAUGUAUUUCUCUUGUCGCGCGAUUACAUUUUAAAAAAUCACCCCAACCCUCUAAACGCGACUUAAAGUGCAUGGUCACAUUUUCUAAAGCACAAAUACCCGAGACAAGCGCAAUAAUCUUAAAAUUUUCAAAAUAGCCAUUGUCUUCUUUUCGUCCUAAUCCCCACUUCUCCUUUUCUCACUCCUUUGUGCUACAUAUCAUCCGUAGCAUUACAAAGGAACUUGAAUCCAUUGAAGAUUUUGGAUUCAAGAUAUCACUUCCAGAGGAAAGAAUAAAUUACUCAGCAAAUUGAAGAUUCUAGAGAAGAAUGGAGGAGCUAUAUAAAUGCCCCAAAAGAAGUAAUAUUCUGGAGAUUUCUCUACAAGGCAAUAUUUCUCUGCAAUAUAUCCUCCAAGGAUUUCUAACGUGUGGAGAAAACCACGGAAUGCAAAUUUCGGUUGAGAACCAUGAAGAAAAGAUUCGCACUUGCUAUUUGAAGACCUACCUGGAAGACAUCUAUUUUGGAGCUGCAAAUCCUUUACUCCAACCGGUAGAUAUUUGAAAUAUAAAGAGAGAUAAUCGCAGAGAACGAAGUCAUGAAAAAGGAAGAAGAACAACACAUGUUGUGAGCUUUCAAGGGUGAUUUUACUUUUAGAAAGUUAUAAAAUGAGCUUCAUUUGUUUAUUCACACUUUAGAGAUUGUGUUCAAGUGUGGAUCUUUAUUUGUAGAAGGGAAAUUAUA